rnacentral:rRNA from 1 species
GUAGGUGCCAAGCGUUGUCCGGAAUUAUUGGGCGUAAAGCGCGCGCAGGCGGUCCUUUAAGUCUGAUGUGAAAGCCCACGGCUCAACCGUGGAGGGUCAUUGGAAACUGGGGGACUUGAGUACAGAAGAGGAAAGCGGAAUUCCAAGUGUAGCGGUGAAAUGCGUAGAGAUUUGGAGGAACACCAGUGGCGAAGGCGGCUUUCUGGUCUGUAACUGACGCUGAGGCGCGAAAGCGUGGGGAGCAAACAGGAUUAGAUACCCUGGUAGUCCACGCCGUAAACGAUGAGUGCUAAGUGUUAGGGGGUUUCCCGCCCCCCUUAGUGCUGCAGCUAACGCAUUAAGCACUCCGCCUGGGGAGUACGGCCGCAAGGCUG